UUCGAUGGCAAUAAAGAAGCGAGGGACGAUGCAGGGCGUCCAAUUGGGGAAAUUAUCAGGGAGUUUAUGUUCGUGACAGGAGCUCUUGUUCCUGGAGAUCUAAUUCCAUUCUUGGGGUGGUUGGAUAUUAAUGGAGUUGUGAAAACCAUGAAGCGUGUAACCAAGGAAGUAGAUGUAAUUGUGGAUAGCUGGAUUGAAGAACACAAGAAGAAAUCUGAUAAUGAUGCCAAAAAGGACUUCCUCGAUGUUAUGCUUUCGGUUGUGGAGGAUGAUGCUUCAAUGGGUCUUGACCGUGAAACAAUUAUCAAGGGGACAACAACUGCUAUUAUCCUUGCGGGCUCUGAUACUACAGCAAUCACUACGCUAUGGGCCUUGUCCAGCUUGGUGAACAAUAGGCAUGCAUUGAAGCGUGCCCAAGAAGAGAUUGACCA
rnacentral:misc_RNA from 1 species